UAUCACCAAGAUCACCGUUUACGUAAUGAUUACGUUGCAGGAAACCAGCACUGCACUCUGUAAGAAGACCCUGGCCUAGGCCGGGUCUGUUGGGAAUGCCGAAGUAAAAAACAAUACAAUACAAAAUACUGCAGCAGUCGAUCACCUGUAUUGGCGUGGAUCAGAACUAUCUUGUCGUUGUGGUGAAUCGUAUCCCCAGACCAUAACUUGCUGCUGUUCUUUGACCGAGCCAGUCACCUCGCUUGUUUUGGCUACCAUUGUGGUCGAACUCUUGGAAAACGUAUAGCCAAGUUCCAGAGACUCGGUCGGCUGUUUUCACUGUCCUAUUGUCACCAACUCACUGUCCAAAAUGUCUUCCUCCCCGAGCACGUCAGAAGCAGAACUUCCGGGAGAUACGAUGCCUUUUGAUAGUUUCCUGCCGGUCUCACAAGGUCCAACGGCGCCUACUAGAACUGGACAGGUAACCACAUCACAACCUGUGACUGACCUAGCGGAUGCUUUAAAGCGGGUGCGUUUGGAGACAGAGGGCCCGGUCCACAUUGGUACAUCCACAAACAGUGCCAGUGGCACAGGACCCAUUCAGACUGCCAACAUUCUACCUGCGGCAUUCGAUGGGACACAUCAACAGGUACAGGCAGGGUUGCAAGCUGCUGGGACAUAUGUCACUCCAGUACAGCCCUACGUUAUUUUAAUACCUCAGCCAGUUGCAAACCAACCGCAACCUGUUGGUCAGCAGCACAGCCAUAUUGGACAACCUGUCAACACUGGUGGCUUCAGUAGUGUUGUGCAGUUUCCAUCAUACUCAAGUGCGUCUCAACUCAUCAUUAGUCUCAUGUCAUCACCAGCACAACGUGUGAGUCCAUACAGUCUGCCACCCAAUCAGUACGCCGCCCAACCCAUGCCUACUGCUACCACUACCAGUGCAACGCAAGCCGGCGACUUUCAACAGACCGCACUGAACCAUCUAGCACAAUGCACUGUACACCAUCAAUGGAGCAACCCCUCUGCCCCUCCAUUGCCAUUGAAUGGCGGACAUCAAGGAGAUCUGUGCGAAUGGUGUGGCGGACAUCAAGUACAUCUGUGCGAAUGGUGUGUAGAUGACAGUCUAAACAUAUGUGGGUUGACUUUCUCUGAUGACACCGAACUAAUGGAGCAUGUAACGAAAGCUCAUAUCCAACUGACCAGUCAUGAACUUCCUGAACAGGAGGAUGGCAACGUCCACAUCUGAAGGUGCAUUGAAACCACUGGCAGCAUCAGCAA